rnacentral:rRNA from 1 species
GGGGGUGCUUGCACCCCGCUGACGAGCGGCGGACGGGUGAGUAAUGCUUAGGAAUCUGCCCAGUAGUGGGGGACAACAGUCGGAAACGGCUGCUAAUACCGCAUACGCCCUACGGGGGAAAGCAGGGGAUCUUCGGACCUUGCGCUAUUGGAUGAGCCUAAGUCGGAUUAGCUAGUUGGUGGGGUAAAGGCCUACCAAGGCGACGAUCCGUAGCUGGUCUGAGAGGAUGAUCAGCCACAUCGGGACUGAGACACGGCCCGAACUCCUACGGGAGGCAGCAGUGGGGAAUAUUGGACAAUGGGGGCAACCCUGAUCCAGCCAUGCCGCGUGUGUGAAGAAGGCUUUCGGGUUGUAAAGCACUUUCAGCGAGGAGGAAGGCCUUAAAGUUAAUACCUUUAAGGAUUGACGUUACUCGCAGAAGAAGCACCGGCUAACUCCGUGCCAGCAGCCGCGGUAAUACGGAGGGUGCAAGCGUUAAUCGGAAUUACUGGGCGUAAAGCGCGCGUAGGUGGUUUGGUAAGCGAGAUGUGAAAGCCCCGGGCUUAACCUGGGAACGGCAUUUCGAACUGUCAGACUAGAGUGUGGUAGAGGGUAGUGGAAUUUCCUGUGUAGCGGUGAAAUGCGUAGAUAUAGGAAGGAACACCAGUGG